AAAGGGAGACCUAAUUCAGGUAUGGGAUGAAAAAAAGUAGUCCCAACCAAGAAUCAAUCCCAAAAGGUCGGAGCGAGGCAAAAUUGGCUUUCAAACUAGGUUCUGGGUUCACACAAGACCUGAAUCAGGAACAAGGGCUAUUAGCUCAGGUGGUUAGAGCGCACCCCUGAUAAGGGUGAGGUCCCUGGUUCGAGUCCAGGAUGGCCCACCUGCACAGGUGGCCAAAACAAAGAAAAAAAGCUCCGAAUCAGCACCUUAUCUUACUUAUAUAGUAAGAGAGAAUGCUGGCUCUGAGUACAGAGUCCAGAGGAACCUUGAAAACUGCAUAGAGCUAGGUGAAAAAGCCAAAAAAGAAGACCGCAAG
rnacentral:tRNA from 1 species